rnacentral:rRNA from 1 species
AAGCGAGGUUGUAGCUGGCCUUCUCGGAGGCAUCGUGCACGCCCUGCCCGUCCCAUAUCAUACCUGUGAACUUUUUGGUAGGCGGGUUUGUGUCGGCCUCGAAAGGGGUCGACCGGCCCUCCGGCCGUCUUUAUAUACACACCAUACGAGUCUUUAGAAUGUUUGUGCGUCUCGACGCAUCUUAUAUAUAACUUUCAGCGACGGAUCUCUUGGCUCUCGCAUCGAUGAAGAACGCAGCGAAACGCGAUAAGUAAUGUGAAUUGCAGAAUUCAGUGAAUCAUCGAAUCUUUGAACGCACCUUGCGCUCCUCGGUAUUCCGAGGAGCAUGCCUGUUUGAGUGUCAUGAAAUUAUCAACCCCUCCUCCUUCAUCGGCGGUGGGGCUUGGACUUGGAGGCUUUGCGGGCUUUUAACGAGUCGGCUCCUCUCAAAUGCAUUAGCUCGAACCCCUGCGGAUCGGCCUCGGUGUGAUAUAAUGUCUACGUCGUGGUCGUGAGCGUCGGAUCGGCUUCUAAUGGUCCCCUUUCGGAGGCGGAAUUUGAACUUGUGACCUCAAAUCAGGUAGGACUACCCGCUGAACUUAAGCAUAUCA